UACGGGGGGGGCAAGCGUUGUUCGGAAUUACUGGGCGUAAAGGGCGCGUAGGCGGUCAGCACAAGUCAGUUGUGAAAUCUCCGGGCUUAACCCGGAAAGGUCAACUGAUACUGUGCGACUAGAGUGCGGAAGGGGCAACUGGAAUUCUCGGUGUAGCGGUGAAAUGCGUAGAUAUCGAGAGGAACACCUGCGGCGAAGGCGGGUUGCUGGGCUGAUACUGACGCUGAGGCGCGAAAGCCAGGGGAGCGAACGGG
rnacentral:rRNA from 1 species